AUGCUCUGCCUCCGCCUCCGUUGCCGUGCCCUCUCCCAGCUCCUCUCGUCCCCCUCCUCCUCUCCUAUCUCCCAGCUCCGCCGCCUCCUCUCUGCCGCCGCGCCUGUCGUCUCCCCAAACCCUAGCUUCGCCGUCGAGGAUUACCUCGUCUCCACCUGCGGCCUCACCCGAGCGCAGGCCCUCAAGGCGUCCGCGAAGCUCUCCCACCUCAAGUCCCCCUCCAAGCCUGACGCCGUCCUCGCCUUCCUCGCCGGCCUCGGCCUCCCCGGCGCCGACGUGGCCGCCCUCGUCGCCAGGGAUCCCAAGUUCCUCUGCGCCGGCGUGGAGGCAAUACUGGCCCCCAACGUCGUCGGGCUCACCGGCCUCGGUCUCUCGCGUUCUGACAUCGCGCGCCUCGUCUCGGUUGCCGGCAAUCACUUCCGCUGUAGAUCCAUGGUCACCAAUCUGCAGUACUGCUUGUGCCUCCUCGGGUCCUACGAGAAUCUCCUCUCUGCUAUCAAGCGCAAAUCCUACAUUCUCUCGUCCAACGUCGAGAGGGUUAUCAAGCCCAACGUCGCGGUCCUGCGAGAGUUUGGGCUUGGUCCUUGUGAUAUUGCCAAGCUGUGCCAUGCUCAGCCAUGGCUCCUCACCUGCAACCCAGAGCGUGUGCGGGCGAUGGCAGUGUGCGUCGAAGGUCUGGGUGUACCCCGUAGAUCUGGGAUGUUCAGGCAUGCGCUGAAUGCUGUUACAUUUAUCAGCGAAGAGAAGAUCGCCGCCAAAUUGGAGCACUUGAAGAAAACGUUCAGGUGGUCGGAUGCUGAGCUGCGCAUUGCUAUUUCUAAGGCUCCAAUGGUGCUGAAUAGGGCUAACGAGUUUCUGCAGAGAAAGUCAGAGUUCCUGAUCUCUGAUUUGGGGUUGGAGCCGGCAUACAUUGCUCAUCGCCCGGUAAUGCUUUUGUACAGCCUGGAGGGCCGGUUAAGGCCCCGGUGCUACGCUGUGAAGUUUCUUAAGGCAAAUGGAUUGCUAGGUCCUGAUCGAGACUUGUAUUCCGCAGUCGCAUUGAGUGAGAAGUUAUUCAUAGAGAAGUACAUAUGCCCUCACAAGGAAGCUGCACCCUGCUUAGCUGAAGACUAUGCUGAUGCUUGCAAAGGGCUAGUGCCAACUAAUUUCAGAAUUACAUGA
rnacentral:rRNA from 1 species